rnacentral:rRNA from 1 species
UACGAAGGGGGGCUAGCGUUGCUCGGAAUCACUGGGCGUAAAGGGUGCGUAGGCGGGUCUUUAAGUCAGGGGGUGAAAUCCUGGAGCUCAACUCCAGAACUGCCUUUGAUACUGAAGAUCUUGAGUUCGGGAGAGGUGAGUGGAACUGCGAGUGUAGAGGUGAAAUUCGUAGAUAUUCGCAAGAACACCAGUGGCGAAGGCGGCUCACUGGCCCGAUAACCUGACGCUGAGGCACGAAAGCGUGGGGAGCAAACAGG